AUUGAACGCUGGCGGCAUGCCUUACACAUGCAAGUCGAACGGUAACGGGCCUUCGGGUGCCGACGAGUGGCGAACGGGUGAGUAAUACAUCGGAACGUGCCCGAUCGUGGGGGAUAACGAGGCGAAAGCUUUGCUAAUACCGCAUACGAUCUACGGAUGAAAGCCGGGGAGCGCAAGGCCUUGCGCGGGCGGAGCGGCCGGUGGCGGUGUAGGUAGUUGGUGGGAUAAAAGCUUACCAAGCCGACGAUCUGUAGCUGAUCUGAGAGGAUGAUGCGCCACACUGGGACUGAGACACGGCCCAGACUCCUACGGGAGGCAGCAGUGGGGAAUUUUGGACAAUGGGCGCAAGCCUGAUCCAGCCAUGCCGCGUGCAGGAUGAAGGCCUUCGGGUUGUAAACUGCUUUUGUACGGAACGAAAAGCCUUCUUUUAAUACAGGAGGGUCAUGACGGUACCGUAAGAAUAAGCACCGGCUAACUACGUG
rnacentral:rRNA from 1 species